CGACCAAUGGACCGCCCAACCCUGCUCACUCGGUAUGUGGCCCCAUCUUGUCCAACGGUCGGUGCACAAAUUUUCCAAAGCUCAAAUUCAUUGUUUACUGGCCUGCAAUCACCACAUUACAUUUCCCCGUACUUUGGUCUCACUCACACGAUAGCUAACCUGACUCCGAUGUCACUUAUAACGUUCUGACCGUCCACAGCAAAUGGACCACCCACACCCACUCA
rnacentral:lncRNA from 1 species